GCCACCACCAUCUUCUUAUGGAGACAAAGUGUGGCGGCAAAGCAAGGGAGGUUUACACACAGGAUGGGAGCCUUUUGGAUGAAAGAAGAAAAAGAAAAUGCUAAAGGAGUGUCGGCAGAAGCCAUCGUAUUUUCACCUCCAGUGCGCGAGUACAGUGUGUGGUGCAGCUAAAAGACCCUAUUCGCGGUUGAUGAUAAAUCACAUGGACGAUAUAUGGCUCUAGGGGCCAUAUAGAGAAAAUUGAACAGAGACACCCUCGAUCGGGUGAUUCUGCAACUCCAGCAGUCGUAGCUGUGAGGUCAUUUGCAGUGGUGUUGUAAGAGAUGAGUUUUAAAGAGUAAAAGUGGAGAUCAACCCACGUGAUUUGUGUUCCCUCUGUGAGCCGCCUUCGAAAAGCGCCAAGACUUCGAGAUUACACACGGAUAUUGGAGUUCAAUUUAAUAGCUCUUAGCGCCAAUUUAGUAUUUUUUC